GUCGCUAAGCCAUACAACAUAGCUGGACUAACUACUGUCUUGUAGACUUUCACCUUCACUCUUGUAGAUAAUUUUCAGUCACAAAUCACUCCUGCCACCUUUCUCCACCCACUCCACCCUGGCUGCACUCUCUUCAUCACUUCUAUACCACAUUCUCCAUUCCUUUGGACAGGUGACCCCAAGUAUUUAAACUCAUCUACUUUCACCACUUCUACUCCUUGUAACUGGUUUAACAGUCAUUGAUGUGACA